GCCACUGUAGCUUAGCGGUAAUCUCUGAUCGCUAAAGAGCGACGGUUUCGUAAACCGUAGGUCGGGGGUUCGAAUCCCUCCAGUGGCUCCA
rnacentral:tRNA from 1 species